UACGUAGGGGGCUAGCGUUGUCCGGAUUUAUUGGGCGUAAAGAGCUCGUAGGCGGCUGAUCACGUCGGAUGUGAAAGCUCAGGGCUCAACCCUGAGAGGCCAUUCGAUACGGAUCGGCUAGAGGUAGGUAGGGGAAAGUGGAAUUCCUGGUGUAGCGGUGAAAUGCGCAGAUAUCAGGAAGAACACCCGUGGCUAAGGCGGUUCUCUAGUACGGUACUGACGCUGAGACGCGAAAGCGUGGGGAGCGAACAGG
rnacentral:rRNA from 1 species